rnacentral:rRNA from 1 species
AACGAACGCUGGCGGCAUGCCUAACAUAUGCAAGUCGAACGAGACCUUCGGGUCUAGUGGCGCACGGGUGCGUAACGCGUGGGAACCUGCCCUUAGGUUCGGAAUAACUCCCCGAAAGGGGUGCUAAUACCGGAUAAUGUCUUCGGACCAAAGAUUUAUCGCCUUUGGAUGGGCCCGCGUUGGUUUAGCUAGUUGGUAGGGUAAAAGCCUACCAAGGCGACGAUCCAUAGCUGGUCUGAGAGGAUGAUCAGCCACACUGGGACUGAGACACGGCCCAGACUCCUACGGGAGGCAGCAGUGGGGAAUAUUGGACAAUGGGCGAAAGCCUGAUCCAGCAAUGCCGCGUGAGUGAUGAAGGCCUUAGGGUUGUAAAGCUCUUUUACCCGGGAUGAUAAUGACAGUACCGGGAGAAUAAGCUCCGGCUAACUCCGUG